UUGGGUGUAAAAGUGUGCGCAGGCGGUUUGGUAAGACAGAUGUGAAAAUUCCCGGGGCUUAACCUGGGAACUGCAUUUGUGACUGCCAGGCUAGAGUGCGGCAGAGGGGAGUGGAAUUCCGCGUGUAGCAGUGAAAAUGCGUAGAUAUGCGGAGGAACACCGAUGGCGAAGGCAACUCCCUGGGCCUGCACUGACGCUCAUGCACGAAAGCGUGGGGAGCAAACAGGAUUAGAUACCCUAGUA
rnacentral:rRNA from 1 species